CGUCAUACUUCAACGUGAGGCAAGGCGGGUCGUUAUUUGAAUAGAUGCCGAUUCCCCCUUACUUCACGUUUUCUGAAGGAGCACAGAAUCCACGGCUACAUGCGCAGAAAAUUGCAUGGUUUAUCCUACAUUCCAUCCCAGCCGUCAGGAGAAAUUAUUGCCUCUUUUAAAAAUAUUUCUGCCUCACGCACAUUAAAGAUAAGUUCAUAUUCUAUAAAUAUACACACUGUAAAGCCUUCCAGAAAUCAAUUUCGCCUCAUUUUCUCUAUGCUUUAUUCGCUCACCUCAUGAAUUUCGCUGCAUGUCCCAUUUCACAAGCACUUGCCGAUGUUUCUUUCCAACGUUUACAAUUUCUGUACCCCACUGUGAUUCAGUUGAAGUCUCUGUGUCUCUAUCCUUCAAAUAUCCACUCUGAUGUCCCCGGAAACCAGUCUCGCCUCAGUUUCACCUCAUUUCCUCCACGCUUUCAUCACUCAUCUCACACAUUUCCCUGGGUUGUCGAUUCCACAGCACUUGCCGAUGUUUCUUUCUAAUGUUGAGAAUAUUUCUACCCCACCAAGAUUUAACAGUAUCCCAUAAAUAGACACCCUGAAGCAAUCUAGAAACCGAUUUCACCUCAUUCAUUUUUUAUUCACAUAAUGGCCACGUCUUGAAAACGCUCGUCCUUUCCGGAGCACUUUGCGAAAUUUCUUUCCAAUGUGAAGAAUAUUUCUACCUGACUGAGAUACAAUCUCCUUACUCCAUAUACUGUCACAAACACCCCUAGACAAUCUCGAAAUCAGUUUCACCUCAUUUGCUCAAUCCUUUCAUCACGCAUCUCAUGCAUUUCACUGAAUGGCCCAUUUCCGAUGCACAUGUCAAUGUUUCUUACCAAUUUUAAAAAUAUUUCUACUCCACUUAUUCUCAUGCUAACUGCAUAUCCUAUAACUAGACAUUGUCGAGCAUUCCAGAAACAAAUUUCAUGUCGUUUCAUUCGUUUCACCCCUCAGCUUGCACUUUCAAGGGUGCGUCACGCCUCCGAACCAUCCGCUCCUCAGCACCUUUCCAAUUUUACAGAUAUUUCUACCUCACACAGAUUUAAGGAUUCCAUUUGUGCAGCCCAAGUCUAUAAAAGAGAGAUGUCAAACAACAGCAAUGAUGCCUGAGGUGCCUGUUUGCCCCACAUGAACACCAACAGUGUAAAACUAUCAACUUUGAGGACUACGAAUCAGUCAAGAUUAUUCGUAAUAGUGAAAGCGGCACACUUCAUCGGUGACACCUCUAGAGUGAACACCGCAAAUUAUAGGACUUCAUAUGUUCCUGUCAUCCACUACAAUGGUCCAAGUGUUUCACAAUGUAGGCAACGUGCAAGAAAAAAAAUGACCUUUGGCGGCCUGCAAAGGCGUGACAGUUAGUCAGUUGUAACGGCAGUGGCCACGCGUGGAGCCAGAAAUGUGCGCUCGCUUGUACAUUCCAUCACUGCCAGUCAGAACUCAUGUUGAGGAAGCCAUCUCCUCCUGAUGGUCCUGAGGUUGAGGAAGUCUCCUCUACUAGAGUAAGAACACACCAUGUGACGCCAUCGAGAACAUUCCACCUCUCCAGCAUCCUUUCCGUCCUGUGCGAGUAUCACCGUCUCUGUCGUGAGAAACACUAUAGGGGCACAGAGUCUUGGUAGCACCCAUCUAAGCCCUACACAGCCACAUCCCCCAUUCCCUGACACACUUCCUUUGCCAGCAGCAACAUUAGCAAGGGUGAAGCAAGUUCCUUAACUGGCUUAAAACUGUACUACAAUGCAACUUCAGCUACUGUGCAAUAAAUCCUCGACUCCAAUGACUAACGCGUCUAUCUACAAGACAACUUUAGCCCCACACCAUUACAUUGUUGAUUGGUAUGAGUUAAGGAAUCCUAAUUGAAUUUUUUAGUGUACCGGAUUCAGUGUGCAGAGAAACUGUUGUCUAAGAUUGUGAAAUGUAAAAACAUGUGUAUAGUUCAAAAUAAAUGAUAUACAGUGUGAAAACAUCUGUUUACCUUGGUUAGAAUUAGAAAUAA